rnacentral:rRNA from 1 species
UACGUAGGGGGCAAGCGUUGUCCGGAUUUAUUGGGCGUAAAGAGCGUGUAGGCGGCUAGGUAGGUCCGUUGUGAAAACUCGAGGCUCAACCUCGAGACGCCGGUGGAAACCAUCUAGCUAGAGUCCGGAAGAGGAGAGUGGAAUUCCUGGUGUAGCGGUGAAAUGCGCAGAUAUCAGGAAGAACACCAAUGGCGAAGGCAGCUCUCUGGGACGGUACUGACACUGAGACGCGAAAGCGUGGGGAGCGAACAGG